GGGCCCGCACAAGCGGUGGAGUAUGUGGUUUAAUUCGAUGCAACGCGAAGAACCUUACCUGGGCUCGAAUGGAUUUGGACCGUUCCUGAAAGGGAACUUCUCUUCGGAGCUGAAUUCAAGGUGCUGCAUGGUUGUCGUCAGCUCGUGCCGUGAGGUGUUGGGUUAAGUCCCGCAACGAGCGCAACCCCUAUUCUUAGUUACCAGCACAUAAUGGUGGGGACUCUAGGAAGACUGCCGGCGUAAGCCGUGAGGAAGGUGGGGAUGACGUCAAAUCAUCAUGGCCUUUAUGCCCAGGGCUACACACGUGCUACAAUGGAGGGUACAGAGGGUAGCGAAGCCGCGAGGUGGAGCCAAUCUCACAAAGCCCUUCCCAGUUCGGAUUGGAGUCUGCAACUCGACUCCAUGAAGUUGGAAUCGCUAGUAAUCG
rnacentral:rRNA from 1 species